rnacentral:SRP_RNA from 10 species
UCCGGGCAUGGGGGUGCAUGCCUGUAAUCCCAGCUAUUCUGGAGGCUGAAGCAGGAAGAUCGCUUGAGCCCGGGAGUUCUGGGCUGCGGUGCGCUGUGCUGAUCAGGUGUCCACACUAGGUUCAGCAUCACUAAGGUGACCUCCUGGGAGCCAGGGACCACCAGCUUGUCUAAGGUGGGUGAACAGACCCCGCCCGGGUCGGAAACGGAACAGGUCAAAACUCCCAUGUCCAUCAAUAAGGGGAUCGUGCCUGUGAAUAGCCACUGUACUCCAGGCUGGGCAACAUAGCGAGGCCCCAUGU